rnacentral:lncRNA from 1 species
CAGGAGAUGAUCUGCAACGUCGACGCCGACCGCGACGGCCGCGUCGACUUCAGCGAGUUCAAGAACAUGAUGCAGGGGAUCACCGUGUGGGGCGCCUAGCUGCAGCACUCCUGCGUCGUGUUGCCAUGUAUGUAUGUAUCUAGGCAGCGCUUCUCUUCAACCCGGUGCUUCUUCUUCUUGAUCGCGCAGUGGAUUCGUCUUGUUCUUGAUUUUGCUCCGUUUAUGGUCGUAGUCUUCAGAAUUUGGGGCAACAACAAAGCCCCACAGGCAUUGUUUCCUGUUCUUGAUUUAUUUAACCACAUUAUAUUACACAUGUAAGAAGAACGUUGACCUUGACCGCUUCCCUCCAAGUUGAUCUUCCUUCACUUUCUUGGUGCUUUCGCUCACCUAUGCCUCUCCCUCACUCUAUCGGCGUGUCUACAUAUUCAGAUGCGUCACUUGAAAAGGUUCUUUUUAGAAAACAUAGCAGUUUCGUCAUUUGAAAGCGUUCCUUUUGUAUAUACUUUUGCCCCUCAUUUUUCCGUGAAUCAGUGUUUAAGUGAAUGAAUUAGCCAAAAAAAUAAAAUAAAAUAAAA